CAGGUAGUCAAGAUGAGAAUUCUAAGGUGAGCGAGCGAACUCUCGUUAAGGAACUCGGCAAAAUGACCCCGUAACUUCGGGAGAAGGGGUGCUCUUUGAGGUUCACGCUUCGAAGAGCCGCAGUGAAUAGGCCCAAGCGACUGUUUAUCAAAAACACAGGUCUCUGCUAAACCGUAAGGUGACGUAUAGGGGCUGACGCCUGCCCGGUGCUGGAAGGUUAAGAGGAGUGGUUAGCGCAAGCGAAGCUACGAAUCGAAGCCCCAGUAAACGGCGGCCGUAACUAUAACGGUCCUAAGGUAGCGAAAUUCCUUGUCGGGUAAGUUCCGACCCGCACGAAAGGCGUAACGAUUUGGGCACUGUCUCAACGAGAGACUCGGUGAAAUCAUAGUACCGGUGAAGAUGCCGGUUACCCGCGACAGGACGGAAAGACCCCGUGGAGCUUUACUGUAGCCUGAUAUUGAAAUUCGGUACAGUUUGUACAGGAUAGGUAGGAGCCUUAGAAGCGUGAGCGCUAGCUUACGUGGAGGCAUUGGUGGGAUACUACCCUAAUUGUAUUGGAUUUCUAACCCGCAGCACUUAUCGUGCUGGGAGACAGUGUCAGGCGGGCAGUUUGACUGGGGCGGUCGCCUCCUAAAGAGUAACGGAGGCGCUCAAAGGUUCCCUCAGAAUGGUUGGAAAUCAUUCAUAGAGUGUAAAGGCAUAAGGGAGCUUGACUGCGAGACCUACAAGUCGAGCAGGGUCGAAAGACGGACUUAGUGAUCCGGUGGUUCCGCAUGGAAGGGCCAUCGCUCAACGGAUAAAAGCUACCCCGGGGAUAACAGGCUUAUCUCCCCCAAGAGUUCACAUCGACGGGGAGGUUUGGCACCUCGAUGUCGGCUCAUCGCAUCCUGGGGCUGUAGUCGGUCCCAAGGGUUGGGCUGUUCGCCCAUUAAAGCGGUACGCGAGCUGGGUUCAGAACGUCGUGAGACAGUUCGGUCCCUAUCCGUCGUGGGCGUAGGAAAUUUGAGAGGAGCUGUCCUUAGUACGAGAGGACCGGGAUGGACAUACCUCUGGUGUACCAGUUGUCGUGCCAACGGCAUAGCUGGGUAGCUAUGUAUGGACGGGAUAAGUGCUGAAAGCAUCUAAGCAUGAAGCCCCCCUCGAGAUGAGAUUUCCCAACUUC
rnacentral:rRNA from 1 species